CCCCGGACUCCCACCCUGCCUGCCGCUGCCAGUUCUGCCAGCCAGUUCUGCUGGGCAAAGCCCAAAUAUGACCCAUUCCCUAUGAGGACCAGAAACAAAGCCGCACAGGACCUAAGAGUAAACAGUGACAGUUACCACUCUUGCUGACCAUGAAAUGGAACAUUUGUUACCCGGGGUUUAUGGUUCACGACGGAGCGGUCUUCGAGGCGUGGGGAUCGGCCGCAUCCCAUGCCUGCUCCGGGGUGGCGGGCCUCUCCUCCAUGGAGCCUUCUCUGGGGGCCUCAGGAAUGAGCUGUUCACUCACCCAUUGGCCUCCAUCGCCUCCUGAGGCAGCUGCCAGAUGGACUCGUACAGUAAGCCUCCUAACCAGAUCUGGGCUGACCCCAGAGAGAAGGAUUCUGAGAACGAGUUCUGAAGAAGUCUGCUGGUUUUAGGCUAGGAAAAGGGGGUACUCGGCUUGAAUUGACAUGUAAGAAACUGUACUCUUUUCCUGGGGUGGCUAUAACAAAUGGCGAUUAAACAGCAGAAAUUUAUUUUCUUGCAGUCCAAGAUGUUAGAAGUCCAAAGUCCAGGUAUUAG